rnacentral:rRNA from 1 species
UGGCUCAGGACGACGCUGGCGGCGUGCCUAACACAUGCAAGUCGAACGGAGCUAUUUACAAAUCCUUCGGGUGACGUUUCUUAGCUUAGUGGCGGACGGGUGAGUAACGCGUGAGUAACCUGCCCAUAAGAGGGGGAUAACACAGAGAAAUUUGUGCUAAUACCGCAUAUUGAUAUACUGCCGCAUGACGGAAUAUUGAAAGAUUUAUCGCUUAUGGAUGGACUCGCGUAAGAUUAGAUAGUUGGUGAGGUAACGGCUCACCAAGUCGACGAUCUUUAGCCGAACUGAGAGGUUGAACGGCCACAUUGGGACUGAGACACGGCCCAGACUCCUACGGGAGGCAGCAGUGGGGAAUAUUGCGCAAUGGGGGGAACCCUGAACCGCAGCAACGCCGCGUGAAGGAAGAAGGCCUUCGGGUUGUAAACUUUUGUCGCAGGGGAAGAAGGAAGUGACGGUACCCUGUGAGAAAGCCACGGCUAACUACGUGCCAGCAGCAGC